rnacentral:rRNA from 1 species
GGUACUAGGUGUAGGAGGUAUCGACCCCUUCUGUGCCGGAGUUAACGCAAUAAGUACCCCGCCUGGGGAGUACGGCCGCAAGGUUGAAACUCAAAGGAAUUGACGGGGGCCCGCACAAGCGGUGGAGUAUGUGGUUUAAUUCGACGCAACGCGAAGAACCUUACCAAGCCUUGACAUUGAUCGCAAGGAGUAGAGAUACUCUGUUCUUCUUCGGAAGACGAGAAAACAGGUGGUGCAUGGCUGUCGUCAG